GAGAGAGGCCUGUUUGCAACGAAUACUGCUAAUUUUCGCCCCCUUGGUUAGACUCCAAGGCUCCCUCG
rnacentral:tRNA from 1 species